AAGUUUAGGUUACUAAAACCAAGGGCCUUCAAAUCCCUAAACAUGAGCACUGCCCCAUAACUUC
rnacentral:tRNA from 1 species